GACGUAGGGCGCGAGCGUUGUCCGGAUUUAUUGGGCGUAAAGAGCUCGUAGGCGGCUUGUCGCGUCGUCCGUGAAAACUUGGGGCUCAACCCCAAGCUUGCGGUCGAUACGGGCAGGCUAGAGUUCGGUAGGGGAGACUGGAAUUCCUGGUGUAGCGGUGAAAUGCGCAGAUAUCAGGAGGAACACCGGUGGCGAAGGCGGGUCUCUGGGCCGAUACUGACGCUGAUGCACGAAAGCGUGGGGAGCAAACAGG
rnacentral:rRNA from 1 species